AACAAGCGCACAGUCCAGUACGAAGCAACGGCAUCUCUAGACGUCUAGUGUUAGUCUAAAAGUGAUUGCAUGUUUUUUAUAUUUUAGGUUUUGCAUGCUGUAUGUAACACGAUCCAGGGCAACAUAAAGCCGCAUUCCUCCCCCACAGCAAACAUCUGUUCUGUCGCCAAGCGAUGCUGCAGGAACCGUCUGCAUUUGCGCGAAACUCAAGUUUUAAACGAAACCACAUGGUUGAAGAAGAGGCUGCAGGAGGUCACAUAUAUUUGAAACUUCAGCAGCUUUAAAAGGUCUAAAGGCAUUACCAGAGUUUCUCUGUCGGAGACCAAAUAAACAAAACAGGUUGCAGUUCCAUAAAACAAGCAGCAGGGGGCGGUCUUCUCCACCGGCAGGACCCGCACCAUGUGGCAGCUAAUGUCACAGGAAGUCGCGGUCAGGACAUCUUAUGAGCUCGGGGCCGGACUAAAACGAUCCGAAGUGCAGCUUCAGCGGCACUCGAUAUGGUCAGCAAGGCUUUCUACACAGGGCAGCACAGACUAUGGGGCACCACAAAAUGAAAGACAUAAGACAGCAGGAUUAACUUUUCUGGGGAAGCGAGGGAAUGUCUGUCGGCGUUCGGGACAGCAGAAGGGAGGCGCCAUUUGGCAAUGACCGUCGUAUUUGUCCGUCUGUAAGUUGGCACGGCUGGUCAGCUCCAGCACAAACCAGUGUCCUGUCCAGACCCCUUCAUCAUACGCUCGAUUUCACCAAAGCGGUCAGACUGACCUGGACUAAACAAACUGGAAGAAUAGCGACACAGAUCCGCCUAAUGGUCGCCGUUUAACUCCAUUCAUCGGCUCUCCAUUAUGCCCGUUCCCUCUUUGAGGAUAGGAUUAUACGCGGCCUCAGUCACAAAGGUCAGAGGGCCGAGCAGACACUCCCACACCUCCGUGACCCGCUCUGAUCCCACGACCUCGGCACCAGCGGGCCCCCACUCCCGGACCCGGCUCUCCCUCCCCGCCAGUUGACCGGCUUUGUCCUGUUUGUCCCGACCCGUUUUCUGCCGUAUCACUCACACGCAUCACAGCAAGCUGAACAAUCAGGGGAUGGAAACCUGAUUACCGAGCGGCAACACCGCAAUCCACACAACACGCAAACAACAGCAAGAAAAAUUUUUAUUUUUAAUGCAAUUAUUCUGUUUUAUGAUCUUUUACUCCAUUUGAUUGGACUGAAUUUGAUCAUUUCCCAUUUCUUGAUCCUUUCCUGCAUUUCUUCUUCUCUUUUGUGUUGGAUCUUGAAAAUAUUUUAUUUCUGUCUCAGUAUAUGAAUUAAAUAUUUAUUCACUCACUUAGCAAACAAACAAAGUAGUCAAGCUUUUGGUAGACUGGAAAAUCAUCUCCAAUAGAUAAAGGAACAUUUCGUGCACAUUUUCAUAAUAUUCCUGUAGAGCUCUGUGUUUACAGAAAAUACUCAUUAAACCUUCUCUAGCAAAUAAUAAUGCUCUUCAUUAAGCCCUAUGGGGCCUCGUAUCGCACUGCCAGCAGUUGCUACAAACAUCUAAAUGAACAAAAUAAACAAAAAAGACCAAAAUACAUACAGAUGUACUAAUGAAAGAACUAAGUAUUUUUACCCAUUGAGUAAAAAUAACCCAUUGUAGUUUCCUAUCAGACAUGCACUCACGCUGUCACACUGUUG